GUCGACGGCAGCACAGAGAGCUUUGCUCUCGGGUGGCGAGUGGGGGACGGGUGAGUAAUGUCUGGGGAUCUGCCCGGUAGAGGGGGAUAACCACUGGAAACGGUGGCUAAUACCGCAUAACGUCGCAAGACCAAAGAGGGGGACCUUCGGGCCUCUCACUAUCGGAUGAACCCAGAUGGGAUUAGCUAGUAGGUGGGGUAACGGCUCACCUAGGCGACGAUCCCUAGCUGGUCUGAGAGGAUGACCAGCCACACUGGAACUGAGACACGGUCCAGACUCCUACGGGAGGCAGCAGUGGGGAAUAUUGCACAAUGGGCGCAAGCCUGAUGCAGCCAUGCCGCGUGUAUGAAGAAGGCCUUCGGGUUGUAAAGUACUUUCAGCGGGGAGGAAGGGAUGAAGCUUAAUACGCUUCGUCAUUGACGUUACCCGCAGAAAAAGCACCGGCUAACUCCGUGCCAGCAGCCGCGGUAAUACGGAGGGUGCAAGCGUUAAUCGGAAUUACUGGGCGUAUAGCGCACGCACGCGGUCUGUCAAGUCGGAUGUGAAAUCCCCGGGCUUAACCUGGGAACUGCAUUCUAAACUGGCAGGCUAGAGUCUUGUAGAGGGGGGUAGAAUUCCCGGUGUAGCGGUGAAAUGCGUAUAGAUCUGGAGGAAUACCGGUGGCGAAGGCGGCCCCCUGGACAAAGACUGACGCUCAGGUGCGAA
rnacentral:rRNA from 1 species